rnacentral:rRNA from 1 species
AUACGUAGGGGGCGAGCGUUGUCCGGAAUUAUUGGGCGUAAAGGGUUCGUAGGCGGUAAUACAUGUCAGAUGUGAAAUCUUGUGGCUUAAACACAUCAAGCAUCUGAAACUGUAUAACUUGAGUGGAGGAGAGGUAAGUGGAAUUCCUAGUGUAGCGGUGAAAUGCGUAGAUAUUAGGAAGAAUACCAGUAGCGAAGGCGACUUACUGGCCUCUAACUGACGCUGAUGAACGAAAGCGUGGGUAGCAAACAGGAUUAGACACCCUGGUAGUCCACGCCGUAAGCGAUGAAUACUAGGUGUAGGGGGUAUCGACUCCCUCUGUGCCGCAGUUAACACAAUAAGUAUUCCGCCUGGGGAGUACGGCCGCAAGGUUGAAACUCAAAUGAAUUGGCGGGG